rnacentral:rRNA from 1 species
UGGGGAAUAUUGCACAAUGGGGGAAACCCUGAUGCAGCAACGCCGCGUGAGUGAUGAAGGUUUUCGGAUCGUAAAGCUCUGUCUUUGGGGAAGAUAAUGACGGUACCCAAGGAGGAAGCCACGGCUAACUACGUGCCAGCAGCCGCGGUAAUACGUAGGUGGCGAGAGUUAUCCGGAUUUACUGGGCGUAAAGGGAGCGUAGGCGGAUGAUUAAGUGGGAUGUGAAAUACCCGGGCUCAACUUGGGUGCUGCAUUCCAAACUGGUUAUCUAGAGUGCAGGAGAGGAGAGUGGAAUUCCUAGUGUAGCGGUGAAAUGCGUAGAGAUUAGGAAGAACACCAGUGGCGAAGGCGACUCUCUGGACUGUAACUGACGCUGAGGCUCGAAAGCGUGGGGAGCAAACA